rnacentral:rRNA from 1 species
GACGGGGGGGGCAAGUGUUCUUCGGAAUGACUGGGCGUCAAGGGCACGUAGGCGGUGAAUCGGGUUGAAAGUGAAAGUCGCCAAAAAGUGGCGGAAUGCUCUCGAAACCAAUUCACUUGAGUGGGACAGAGGAGAGUGGAAUUUCGUGUGUAGGGGUGAAAUCCGUAGAUCUACGAAGGAAGGCCAAAAGCGAAGGCAGCUCUCUGGGUCCCUAGCCGACGCUGGGG